GGUUCUGGGGGGAGGUAUGGUCGCAGGCCUGAAACUUAAGGAAAUUGACGAAGGCAACCAAGGAGGAGGUGGAGCCUGCGGCCUUAAUUUGCCUCACACGGGAACUACCAGUACAAGACAAAGGAGAGGGAGUGACAGAUUGAUAGCUCUUUCUUGUUCUAUGGGUGGUGGUCUCCCCGUCUUGUUGUGGAGUGAUUUGUCUGGUUAAUUCCGAUAACGAACGAGACCUUAACCUGCUAACUAGAUAUUUUCAUUUUAUGAAUAUAUCUUCUUAGAGGGACUAUAUGCUUUAAGUAAAAAGAGAGAAAUAAGGCAAUAACAGGUCUGUGAUGCCCUUAUAUGUCCUGGGCUGCACGCGUGCUACACUGAUAUAUACAACAAGUGCCUAGCUAGAUAUAGUAUGGCAAUCUCGAAUAUAUAUCGUGAUAGGGAUAGAUCUUUGCAAUUAUAGAUCUUGAACGAGGAAUUCCUAGUAAGUGCAAGUCAUCAUCUUGCAUUGAUUAUUUCCCUGCCCUGGGGACAAAGGGGACCGUCGCUCCUACCGAUACCGGGUGAUCCGGUGAACCUGUUGGACCCUUUGGGAAAAAUAAGUAAAUCAUAUCACCUAAAAAGGAGAAGUCGUAACAAGAAUCGGACCCCGGGUCCAUCGUCAGAGGC
rnacentral:rRNA from 1 species